CAACAGGAGAAUUUUGGCUGCUAUAUUUAAAGCAAGCAUGAAUAACCCUAGCCUCAAAAAGGAGGACUCUUCUGGUAUACAUAGUCCUGGGAACCUUGGAGGAAACAAACUGCUCUCUUGCUGGAUCUAGCACUCUUGUGGAUUUUGCAGUAUAUUCUGAGUAUUUUCCCAUGGUAAUCCCCUGCUCUGCAUCCCUGUCACCCGCAGCAUCUGAGAAGACAACCCUUUCUUGAGCCUAAUGAACAUGUGUUACCAGCUUCUCAAGUAUCAUAAGUCAUAUAUAUGUCAACAUAUAUAUUUAGAUUUCUGCUUGCACUACAUUUUGGACUCAUUUUCUUUGCCUUUUCACUUGAGCCUGCAGUGGCCUAGGUAGGCAAGGUAGCAGAGCAAGUUCUUCACAGUGUUGUCAGUGUGCUCACAUUCUGUUUUUACAUGUCCUGUAGUUCUAAUAGCCUCAUUGUGACUUCUCUUGUCCUGUGAGUCACCCCAUCCCAACACUACUUACUUUCAGGAGGCCUCUGCACUAGAACUAUCAUUGUGAGGCAACAGUCCACCUACUGUUUUUGCUAAAACAGCUCACAGGCAAGGACUGACACUGACUAUUAGAUGAAACCAUGGUAUAGGUUACUGUCUGAGAAGCCCUAUGGAAAAACUCUGGGAAACCAUUUGAGAAGCCAAGAUGAAUCUGAGUCUUGUGUCUUGAGGGAAACACUCAUUUCAGAAACAAAAGAUUAUUUUCACAAGAUAAUUGGAUGGCUGGUCACCAGGGAGUGCUUAAGUGUUUCCAGACUCUUGUCGGCAGGGCAGAACAGAGCGUGCAACAGAAGUCCCAGGACCACCUCUGCAAGGGCACUACACCAAACUUCAGACUCAACCCACUUCCAAACUGAGACCUGGUGGCAUCCUCCAGGAUAUGAUCUUCUCAGAUCUCUCCAGACCUAUUCUACAGCCCAAGAGCUGUCCUCUGAAAUACCUAAGGAGGCAUUGAUCCCGGGGAACCACAGAAUAUAUGAAAACAUUCUGACUGUUGAAGUGGACAGAGAUCAGAAGUGAUGGCAUAGAAGUGGCAAGAAAAGUAGAAGACCAAA
rnacentral:lncRNA from 1 species